rnacentral:rRNA from 1 species
CACGCCGUAAACGAUGGGUACUAGGUGUUGGGUGUCAAAGCUCAGUGCCGCAGUUAACACAAUAAGUACCCCGCCUGGGGAGUACGGUCGCAAGACUAAAACUCAAAGGAAUUGACGGGGACCCGCACAAGCGGUGGAGCAUGUGGUUUAAUUCGACGCAACGCGAAGAACCUUACCAAGGCUUGACAUCCCUUGACGAUCUAAGAGAUUAGAUUUUCUUUUCGGAGACAAGGAGACAGGUGG